UGUAUGGGGAUCUGCCCGAUAGAGGGGGAUAACUACUGGAAACGGUGGCUAAUACCGCAUAAUGUCUACGGACCAAAGCAGGGGCUCUUCGGACCUUGCACUAUCGGAUGAACCCAUAUGGGAUUAGCUAGUAGGUGGGGUAAAGGCUCACCUAGGCGACGAUCUCUAGCUGGUCUGAGAGGAUGAUCAGCCACACUGGGACUGAGACACGGCCCAGACUCCUACGGGAGGCAGCAGUGGGGAAUAUUGCACAAUGGGCGCAAGCCUGAUGCAGCCAUGCCGCGUGUAUGAAGAAGGCCUUAGGGUUGUAAAGUACUUUCAGCGGGGAGGAA
rnacentral:rRNA from 1 species